UUUAACUUGCAAGAAGAGUGACAGAAAGCUGUUAUUUUCAAGCAGCUGGCAAAUUUGUGGAGGGCUGGGAAGUCAAGGCUAGUGUCACAAGUACGUGCUGCAAAGACUACUGCUGAAAGAAUAGAUUUAAAACCCAGCAACAUCCCAUCCAUUCAAGUGUGGAACUGUUGGGUUAAGAGCAAGACUACCACAACUUUCACGGAAAUAAGUAACAAGUACAGAGAGAUUAGAAAAAAUCAGAUUCCUCACACCACCAGCCGCAAAGGAAAGCUUCGUUUAGCUGAAGAUAUGAAAAAAGAGAGUAAAGAGCCAAGUAAGGUGACAAGGAGUAAGGUAUGGCCUGCGGGACACACUCAUGCUGAUGGUAGACCUGUGAAUAGAGAUGGCAAUCAUGGAUCUGGACCGCGGGCUUGGCCCAUAAAGGACUGUCGCGGUACGGUAUUGGGAUGAGGUUUUUUAGGCCCGCAAAUUUGCGGGCCUCGCGGGAUGGGUCUUUGCGGGACUGGGUCUUUUGCGGGAUG